ensembl:misc_RNA Gm27940 predicted gene, 27940
AUUAUGCGGAUUUUUUGGGGGGUUAGGAAGGGCUCUGUACCAGACAUGACUCCCGGGUAUACCAUGUGGCUUGUGAAUUUCCUCCCCAUACCUGUUAU